rnacentral:ncRNA from 1 species
AAAACGGUUCUACUUAGAACCAUCAAAAUUAUGUAUUAUUAUUUUU